CCUACGGGUGGCAGCAGUGGGGGAUAUUGCACAAUGGGGGGAACCCUGAUGCAGCGACGCCGCGUGGGUGAAGGAGUGCUUCGGCAUGUAAAGCCCUAUCGGCAGGGAAGAAGCAAGACGGUACCUGACUAAGAAGCCCCGGCUAACUACGGGCCAGCAGCCGCGGUAAUACGUAGGGGGCGAGCGUUAUCCGGAUUCACUGGGUGUAAAGGGAGCGUAGACGGCCAUGCAAGCCAGGGGUGAAAGCCCGGGGCCCAACCCCGGUACUGCCCUUGGAACUGUGCGGCUAGAGUGCGGGAGGGGCAGGCGGAAUUCCUGGGGUAGCGGUGAAAUGCGUAGAUAUCAGGAGGAACACCGGCGGCGAAGGCGGCCUGCUGGACCGCGACUGACGUUGAGGCUCGAAAGCGUGGGGAGCGAACAGGAUUAGAUACCCGGGUAGUC
rnacentral:rRNA from 1 species